ACUGCUAUCGGAUUGAUACUAAGCCAUGCGAGUCUUUGUAGCAAUACAAGGCAGACGGCUCAGUAACACGUAGUCAAUCUACCCUAUGGACGGGGAUAACCUCGGGAAACUGAGAAUAAUACCCGAUAGAUCAUUAUACCUGGAAUGGUUUAUGGUCGAAAUGAUUUAUCGCCGUAGGAUGGGACUGCGGUCUAUCAGCUUGUUGGUGAGGUAAUGGCCCACCAAGGCUAUAACAGAUACGGGCUCUGAGAGGAGAAGCCCGGAGAUGGGUACUGAGACACGGACCCAGGCCCUAUGGGGCGCAGCAGGCGAGAAAACUUUGCAAUGUGCGAAAGCACGACAAGGUUAAUCCGAGUGUUUUCUGCUAAAGAAAUCUUUUGUCAGUCCUAAAAACACUGAUGAAUAAGGGGUGGGCAAGUUCUGGUGUCAGCCGCCGCGGUAAAACCAGCACCUCAAGUGGUCAGGAGGAUUAUUGGGCCUAAAGCAUCCGUAGCCGGCCGUGUAAGUUUUCGGUUAAAUCUAUACGCUCAACGUAUAGGCUGCCGGGAAUACUGCACAGCUAGGGAGUGGGAGAGGUAGACGGUACUCGGUAGGAAGGGGUAAAAUCCUUUGAUCUAUUGAUGACCACCUGUGGCGAAGGCGGUCUACUAGAACACGUCCGACGGUGAGGGAUGAAAGCUGGGGGAGCAAACCGGAUUAGAUACCCGGGUAGUCCCAGCUGUAAACAAUGCAAACUCAGUGAUGCACUGGCUUGUGGCCAGUGCAGUGCCGCAGGGAAGCCGUUAAGUUUGCCGCCUGGGAAGUACGUACGCAAGUAUGAAACUUAAAGGAAUUGGCGGGGGAGCACCACAAGGGGUGAAG
rnacentral:rRNA from 1 species